CAUGUCGCGAGGUCAUUUUUUCAAUUUAGUCCUUGCCGUUCUCCCGACCAAACCCGCGGUGCUCGUCCUUCCUCAGUCUUCUCCGACGCCGGUUGAUUUGGUCGCCGCGCCCCCGCCGCCUCCGCCUUGCUUCCCUCCCGCCUCCCCACACCGGCGCCUUGUUCCCCUCCCCUCCGACCGCCGCCUCGUUCCCCUACGCCCGCCGCCCGCGAAGGUUCAAUUUCGGAGACCACCGUCUGCAGUCCUCGCUCUCCUUCCGCCUGCGCUCGUCGUGAAUCACCUCCUCUCCGUCGACCAUGAAGAUCGCCCCUCCAUGGACGCCGUCGACCCGAGCACUGGGAAGCACGGGUGCCCCUUCUCCAAUCCGCAAACGGUGCCUUCCACCAGCGGCGCUCCGUCCGACGGAGCCGUCCUUCCCCGAGGGUGGCGAGCCGGAGCUGGCACUGCCCUUCGUCGACCCCCUCCUCGCCGUAUGGCUGCCUCGCCGCCCAGCAGCCACCACCACUGUCCACCUGGCCGUCAACCUCAUCCAGUACUACAGAGCGAAGGUGAGAUUCAGUGUACUCUACGAACUGCUUCAAAAUGUAGGGCAUUUUGGGACACACACAGGUAACACAUUUAACACUUGGUAAAUUCAGUUAACUCAAGGCUAAAGACAAUCUACCAAGGCUAAAGCAUAUACUGACAUGAAACGACAAUAAUGGAGCCAUGGAGCAGCGGCAACUCAAGGUCCUUUGAAAAUCAGAUCGUCCUAUUUGCAAUAUCAUGGGCUUUCACAAAGACAAGUAUAACAAGGAUUCCAAUGAGAAAUAGCGCCUAAAGAACAAGUGCAAUGUUCCGUGCAAAGAUCGCAUCAUGAGAACAAACAUGGCACUUGUUGCUGAGCCUGGACCAGCAGGACAAGCAUGCUACAUGGCCAUUUUGGCACUGGAAAAUACACAAAACAAGCUGUGAUCAUGCAAUGGUUAUCUAAAACUUUGCCUCUUAUAACAAAAGUACUCUGAUGGAGUAACUUCUUCAGAGGGCAAAUAGCACCAGCAGCAUCAGUCAUGGCGGCAGUCAACAGCAACAACAACAGCACAGGCAGAGGAGCAGUAGCAUCAACACGGAUCAACAACAGCAGCACAGGCAGAGGAGCAGUAGCAUCAACACGGGAAGAGGAGCAGCAGCAGUACCACGGGCUAGCUCCAAUGGCGGCAGGGGAGAAACAGAGGAGAAACAAGAUGCAGCAACACGGGCUAGCACCACUGGCGGGCACGCAGGCAGAGAAGGAGCACGACGGCUGCGCGUGGGAGCUCGACGAGGACUCGCGGGAGACCACGGAGGGCGCGCGCGAGCUGCUGUCCACCAGAUCAUGGAGGCCGGCUCCGGCGAUGCCCGUAGUUGGAUCGCGGUGGCGCACGGGAGGCAGCUCAAGGUCGACUCGCGGGAGCUCGAGGACGAUGAGAAGGAGCUCCUGCUCCACCGGAUCGUGGUGGCAAACUCCGGCGACGCCCGCAGGUAAUUGCCGCGGGAGGGGAUCGCGGCGGCGCAGGUCUGGGCGGCGGUGGCGGAGCAAGUACUUGGCGACGGCGGCGGCGUUGAAGGUACGUGGCGACGGAGGCGGAACACUUCCUGGUGGGCGGCAAUCACGCAGCUUGGCGGCGCCGGCCCCUGGAGACGCACGGGCGGCGGCGGAGGAAGAAGACAGGGGUGGAGGGACUUGUUUGCGAUUGUUUUAAAACUAUGAGGGCUUUUUUAUAAAAUUGGCAAUAAACUACGCCUGCAGCAUGUUUUUCGGGACGGAGGGAGUACAUACUACACAUACAUACUCUCGGUUUCGACAGAUACUACAUACAACAUACAAAACGCAAGUGGUGGUAACUACCACUGCUUGUAAGAAACAUUUGUCCUAUAUAUAUAAUCAAAAUAACCGCCCCCCAUUUAAAAUUGAUCGUUUAAAAAAGACGCAGUUCAUGCUAAUUGGACAAUAUUUGUUAAUUUUUGAUAUAUCACACAUAAUAAGGACAAAACUUAACAAUUUUUCAACAAACAACGAAAUUUAAACUAAAAAAACUAGGUGAGGCACCGGACUUGACCUUGUAGGCACAGACUUCGAGGCCGCCGGCACCUCUGUCGCCAUCCGCGCACCCAUAUCGUCGUUGUUGUUGUCCUAGGCAUUAUCGCCAUCCUUCGAGUGGUGGAAGGCCUCCAGGUGUCACGUCAAUCCUGAUCGACCUCCGUUGCAAGCUCGGGUCGCAGCCACUCGGCUGCCUCCGCCUGACCCAAACACUCGGCCACCUCUGCCUUGGGGCGACGGUCGAAGGCGGGGUUCUUGCGCCGCCUGCCGUCACCUUUGAGUCGGGCCAACCGCUCGGACUCCUCCCGCUUUGAGGAGUUGGUCGGCGGCGUCGAGUGGUCAUGCCUUGUGAUGCCCCCGAUUUGACCGUACACUAAUCAUGCACGCAAAUGUGUACGAUCAAGAUCAGGGACUCACGGGAAGA